CCCUUAGAUGUUCUGGGCCGCACGCGUGCUACACUGUUUGAUUCAGCGAGUCUUAACCUUGACCGAAAGGUUUGGGUAAUCUUCUAAAGUCAAACGUGAUGGGGAUCGAUCAUUGCAAUUAUUGAUCGUGAACGAGGAAUUCCUAGUAAAUGCAAGUCAUCAGCUUGCGUUGAUUACGUCCCUGCCCUUUGUACACACCGCCCGUCGCUACUACCGAUUGAAUGGUUUAGUGAGAUCUCCGGAUUGGCUCUGUAGGUCCCGCAAGGGAUUUAUUAGUAGCCAAGAAGCUGCUCAAACUUGAUCAUUUAGAGGAAGUAAAAGUCGUAACA
rnacentral:rRNA from 1 species